rnacentral:lncRNA from 1 species
CCGGCGUCGGCGUUUCUCUCCCCAGGCUCCCCUGCUCUCCAGCACACGCCCGUAGCCAUUAGUUAAAAUCUUGAGCCUUGUCACUCCCUUUCUGAUGCAGGAAAAUAUGCUCCCUGGCUUUUAGUUUGCAUGUGAUCAUGAAGUGGUGAAAAGUUCAGCCUUUAUGAGUGUCUACUGCCAAUCAAACUGAGAUAAACAAAGGUCAGACGAGAUCAACGGGGGGCGGGGGGGGAGGCCGAAACACACAAGGAUCCUGGAAACGGGGGACGGGAUAAUUACAAGCAGCAGCAUGUAUGCAUUAGGUGCUGGCAGUCCCAAGGGGACGCAUUAAUGCUAGAGUGGAGCCGGAGGAGCGUGACAGCGAUGUGACUGAGGAUGGGCUGGAAGCAGGGCGGAGCAGAGACAGAGGCUGACGCGCAGAACAAGAGAAGAACGGGAAGCAGGUUCGAUUGAGAAUAAAUUCAUAUUCAUGCAUCAUUUAGGAGAACCCCUGAGAUAUGAUGAAAAGAAGACUCUGAAAAAUUAACACCUUCUUCAUUGGGAUUUCAGCCAGCAGACCUCUCCACCAUCCUCAGCUGAGCCGAGACCUCCUUCACCCCGGAAAGGGGUCGCACCACCACUGUUACACGAGGCGUAUGCUGCCAGCAGACUCCGAUUCACGUCGCAGCCCCACCGAACUGGAGGGUGACACGCAAGCUCUUUGAGCUCUCAUGUUCACAUCUGUCAAGAGACAUAGCACCGUCUAUAUCCCUGAUGUGGGCAGGUCCAAUGAGGAAAUGUAUAUAAAACUACCUAACACCCACCGAAGAGGUCACCUCUGCGGUAUCUUCAGGGUGAAGGGCAACAUGCCUCAGCCAGCAUGAUGCCACUUCUGCUCUUCAAGAGACACCGCUAACCCACAUUCUGGGUUAUUUCUCAAUAUCCUUUUCCAAGUCCUAUGCCUAUCAUUUGCCUGGAAGGCCCCAUCCACCUUGACUGCCCUGGCUAAGUCCCACCUGUGCUUAGAAACCUGUUUGAGGUACAAAAGUGCUUCUUUAGGAUGUGGUCCUGGCACAGCCGUCAGACUGGACUCGGAGCUAUGGAGCCCUUUCUAGAGCCUUCCACAAAGCCAGCCGCUGACGUUUCCUGGCAGGUGAUGGACAUGCCGGUGUUUCAUGAAGGCAGGUAGGAGGGGGAACUGUGUGGCAGGAGGAGGGGCUCCAGGACCAGGGCUGAUGCUGAUGAGGGGACAGCCUUUCUGCUCAUUUCGAAAGAGCCCUGGCGGUGUGGCACCAGUCUGAUCUCUCCCACUGCAAGAUUUUUCUAGAGAUGCACCAUUUUAAAAGUGGGUUAUUUCAUACCAAAAAUAAAACAUAAAAUGGUCAAUGGUCUAGAGCGAGG